rnacentral:lncRNA from 1 species
UGCACAUAACAUGAAUGAAAAAAUAACCUAAAUUUUAUUAAUUUUAAAAUUUGAUCAUAAAAUUAUGCUCCAGAAGUGUAUAUGUGUUAGCCAAUCUGGGUUCUAGGAAACACAUCUAACAGUAGUGGCGGUCACGAUGGCCAUGGAUCAGCUGGCCAAGAGCUAGGGGCCUACAACUUUGUUUUCUUUUCUUUUUUUUGGUGAGGAAACAUCGGAGG